CCGUAGUCUCACGAGGAAGUUUUCGGAGUCCUGGGACUCAGGAUGAACGCUGGCGCGUGCCUAACACGAUGCAAGUCGACGAAGCAGUCCCUCGAGGCCUUCGGGCGAGGGGGCGAUGACUUAGUGGCGGACGGGUGAGUAACGCGUGGGUAACCUGCCCUAUACUGGGGGAUAACAGCUAGAAUGGCUGCUAAUACGCAUGAGCGCACAGUCCCGCAUGGGACAGUGCGGAAAACUCCGGUGGUAUAGGAUGGACCCGCGUCCGAUCAGCUGGUUGUGGGGUAACGGCCCACCAAGGCGACGAUCGGUAGCCGACCUGAGAGGGUGACCGGCCACAUUGGGACUGAGACACGGCCCAAACUCCUACGGGAGGCAGCAGUGGGGGAUAUUGCACAAUGGGGGGAACCCUGAUGCAGCGACGCCGCGUGAGUGAAGGAGUACUCCGGUAUGUAAAGCUCUAUCAGCAGGGAAAAAGCAAGACGGUACCUGACCAAGAAGCCCCGGCUAACUACGUG
rnacentral:rRNA from 1 species